rnacentral:siRNA from 1 species
GUUCAGCCUUAUGCAGUAUUGGUC